rnacentral:lncRNA from 1 species
CUCCAUCAAAGGUUAUCCAACAUCAUCAUCUCUCUUUGUUUUAGGACAAUCUCUCUUGACAUGAUCCAUUUCUUUGCACUGGUAACAUUGAAUGCCUUUUCCUCUGGAAUCAGAUGCAAACCUGUCACUCUAAAAUACCUUUUUAGCUAAUCAUUCUCUUCACAUUAUCUCUACUGCUCACUAGUAUAUGGUUAUAUUUCAUGCAUAAACUUGAUGUUAUAUGUGUUUCAUGAGAUAAAAACACAACAUGUACUUGAUCUAGAUUCAUAUAACCUGACCAUAUAGUAUCAAUGUGACACGAUCAAAAGAUUGAUGUCUUAUCCCAAGUGCAGGAGUGUCGAAAUAAUAAAUAAUCCAGCAAGACCGGGGUCGAACCAUAGGGAGGUGAACUAUAUAAAAUUAUAAACAACAAAUGAAAAGGAGUUGAAGAGAAUUUUUGAGAUGUGAUAUUGAUGUGAGUAUUAAAUAAAGAUAAAAGCAAUUGUCAAAGUUAGAGGAUCUACUAAUAGUAUUAGAAAUUAGAAAUAAGUAUGGUAUAAACUCUUUUUAUUAAUCAACUAAAAACCACACACAAAGGAGGUUCCAAUUGGAUGAUUUAUCCUUAAUAGUUCAUUAUAAAUUUUUAACAUGCUCGUAUUAAUUAUCUUAUUUUAGUAACACCAUACUUUUAAAUAUUGUCAGGAAUUCAUGAUGUUAACUUAUGUUAACAACAAAUCAAGUUCCUUUCAUAGCACAGGUGUCGGUUAUACCAUACAAUAGGCUAUGAAAGUGUCAAGUAUUUGUUGUACCAAAGGUUGUGCAACACAAAUCUAGAUUAAUCAUUUAACAAGCAAUGUAUUAAGAAUUAGUAAGAUAAAAAGAUAAGACAUGUUAAUAACAAACUUUCUUGGAUAUAAAUAUUGAAGUCCAUGUUGAGUUUAUAUUAUACCCAUUCUAACACCAUUAGUGAAACCUUUUCACCUUAACAUAAUAAACUUAGUUAAACAUUGUGAAUAAGAGAAACAUAAAUAAACUAGAUAAGAACAUAGUUAUGAUGAAAGUUAACUAAGUAUAGUAAAGAAAAUGAAAAACAUAAACAAGAGAUUAAUAUAACAUAAAAUAAAACUUGAACAUUACAAAAUACAAAGAAAGAGAGCAAGAAUAUGAUCUUGAUCUUAAAACCAAGAUGUCUAAAUGUAUGGCAAAUGCCUCCUUUUAUAGGCUAAAAUUUGGAACUAUUGAUUUAAUGACUAAUUAUUGAGUCGGUGGCCAUCUCUUGACUUAGUGACAACCAUUAUCUUCUUGUCUGAACAAAACAUCAUUGUCAACGUCAGAAUUUAAACAGAUAGUCUUCAUGAACGUUCUGGGAAUUUGUCUCAGCUUUCCAACAAAACAAGAAUGAGCUCAUUUGGACUUCUAGAACUCGAGAUAUGGGCUAAAUACUGAACAGUGUCUGGGCUACAAGACAGAUUCCAACUUCUCUUUUGUUGCUACAAUUUGAACUUGAAAACGACCGUUUUGAAUCUUGGACUCUUAUGAAAGUUUUAGGCCUAUGUCUUAGCUUUCCAUCCAUAUAAACCAGACCUAAAUUCAUGUUUUACAGCUCCAGUUAUGAUCCAAUAACCGAAUGAUGUUCCAGUUUGAAUUGAACCAGCAUCUCUUCUUUAAGCUUAACCCUUUCUUUGUCUUUUCAUUUUCAAUAGUUAAACACGUCAAUCAAUCCUUUAAAUUGUGAGAUAUGUCUGCAUUUAAAAUGAGCAUUUACCAUAAAUUAAAGAUAUCUUAUGUUAUCAAACUUGUUAUUAUAAAACAUGUUAAGUUAGGGAAUUUAAUGAUACUUUAAGUGCAAUAUAAUUAUAUAAAACCUUGAUAAAAAUGCACUUUUAAAUACUAAUCACAAUGUCACCAUAUCAUCAAACGAAUCAAGGAGAAAGGUAAGAAGUAAAAGGGUCUUGUCUUCUUCCUUAAUCUUGACAUCAAUCAAUUUUUAUAGCUGAUCCAAUAUACCAUUGAGCACAUUCGAGUGCUCUAUGAGAUGCUCCCCUUCCUCCAUUUUUAGCUUGUAAAGUAACUGCUUCAGAUGUAACUAAUUGGUCAAACUCUUUAUCAGAUAAAAUUUUUGUUACUUUUCCCAUAUUGUAGGCAUCACAUCUUUAUCUAUAAUGCUGUCAUCAAUACAAAGUUGAACAUGUUCACAUACUUUAAUUCCAACUCCUCCCACUCGUCUUCCUUCAUAAAUAACUCAUUCAAUGGAAAGAGAAAUAACAGAGAUGAAUGAAGAUUGGCUGACAUGGUUCAACAACAUCCUGCCUGGUCCAUGGAUCCGAGAGUAAUCCUUCUUUACUAUGAGAGUAAAUUAGUACAAAAUUAUGAUUAUGAUUUUUAUACUCAAAACUGAACGCCCCCUUUCACUUUAAAGCACCCCUGUGGUCUUCACACUUUAAAGCACUCAUCUAUUUAUAAUGGUCAAACACUUGGUGAACCAAAAAUGAAUAAAGUUGGUGACUAAGUUUGCAAAACUCGAAGGCUACUCUACUAUUACUUGAUCCCCACUUCAUUUAUUUAGCCACUAUUCCAGGAAAAAUUAAGUAAUACCCCAUCAGAGAAAACAUGUCUUAUUUUUAAAACCAUCCAAAAUUCCUAUUUCCAAACUCAAAAUUCGGUUGCUAAACCAAAGGAGUGGACCGGACGGCAUGUUUCAGGUGAAAGACAAUUGAGAGAACUAAAACGUGCUGAUGAGAAACAGGGAGGUUUGAUCCUUUAAUUCAACAAUUGCUACGUGACCUUUAUUUACUUCUUAAUGCAAAUAAACUUUAUGGUUUGGAGUGAAUUAUCUCCCCGCUCCUUUCUUAAAAAGAAGAUAAAAAAGAAACCUCACGGUUUGAAAUGAAUUAUCUCCACGCUGCUUUCUGAAAAGAAGGUAGACAAAUGCUCUGUUGAAAUUGCAUGCUUACCUUCCUCUGUGUUGAAAAAACUGUGAUGAGAUCACUUUGUUAUCCUCUGGAAUUCGCCCACCUUCCUAGAAGUUUCUUCUAAAACAUGCUCACAUGGCCUUGGCAUCAAACGGCUGAUUAAUUUAAUGUAUUUUAGACCUCCUUGUUAUACUACACGAAAUUAUUGCAGCUAAAUGACACAAGUAGAUAUGUAUCUUUCGGCUCUGGCUAGUUCCCACAAGUCUACUUUCAUGGCUGUUCAUUGUGCUCUCAUUAUAAAUUAAUUAUUUUUCUGCAAAGACUUGUAUUCUGGAUCUUUGACAUUUUAAUUUCUUGGACCCCAUUCAGAAAAGUUUUUCACAAGGAUGAUUCCUGGCAUCUGCUUAACAAAAUUCCUUGUGACACCACGUACAAGGGCAUCCAGGUUCCAAUGGAAAGAAAAAGAGAUGGCUUUGGCCAGCACAUAGUAUACAUUCAUUUGUCAAAUUCUUGAUCUUAUUAAAACUAAAUGUUGCUAGGUCGCUAUCAGUGAGGUCACGCAUCCGUCGACAAGGAACAGGAUUCAUAAGUUUUGCCAAUUUAUCUGUAUAAUAUCAUGCCCAUGUAUUCUUUUAUUGGACGGUACACAUUGCUGGGUCAAUCAAUUUAACUUUUCUUUGUAGUGAAAGAGAAAAUCAAACUCUUUAUUUUUUUUUUUCGAAGAGUUAUUCAAUGGUGGCUCCACACCAAUUUCCUUGUGGUUUCCAACUCUAUUCCUAAAUAUUUGUUUCCCUUAUCAAAGUCCACCAUGUUUAUCUCCAACCACAAUGCUUCACCUUCAAACAACCUUCUUUUGAUCUAAUAUACCUUCUUUUGCCUAUGGUGAUCAUGGACUUGGAUUUUGAAAGACAUAGCAAAAGAAGAAAAACCAAGCUUGAAGAUGAUCCACAAACAACUGGAAUGGAGCUUCUACCGAGGGAGAUUGCUCAAGAUAUACUUUCAAGAUUGCCCAUCACUUCUUUGGUGAAAUUCAAGUGUGUAUGCCGAGCUUGGCGUGCCAUGGCGCUGGACCCUGAGGUUGUAAAUUUAUAUCUCUCUUGCUCAACUCAGGAAACAGAUCCUUGCGUAAUCCUUCACUGCGACUUUCCCAUCAGAAACAAUCUUUACUUCGUUGAUUUCGCUGCCCACGAAGAAGAAAAGGAGAAGGUGAAAAGAAUUCGAGCACCUUUUUCUUCUAUGAUGCCGGAGUUUGAAGUGGUAGGUUCCUGUAAUGGUUUACUAUGCCUAUCCGACUCGUUGUUCAACGAUUCUCUUUAUAUCUAUAAUCCUUUCACGGGCAGAUAUAAAGAGCUGCCAAAAUCCUUGCAGUAUCCUGAUCAAGAAGUGGUGUUUGGGUUCGGUUUCAAUCCCAAGACUAAUGAAUACAAGGUAAUUAGGAUUGUGUAUUAUAGGAAUGGGCAUGGCAGAUACCCUCGGUCACGUAGAAUCAUUUAUCCACUAUCACAAGUCCAAAUCUUAACACUAGGCUGCCCUGGAUGGCGAAGUCUAGGCAAAGUGUCAUACCGGCUAGUUCGCCGGGCAUCAGAGACCCUGGUUAAUGGAAGGCUUCACUGGGUUAGCCGACCGUGUAGAAACAAGCCUGCCCGCAGGCUGGUCUCAUUCGACUUGACCGAUGAGCAAUUCCGAGAAGUCCCGAAACCGGACUGCGGUGGCCUAAAUAGGUGCGACUAUCAUCUAGCGGUUCUGAGAGGCUGUCUCUCUGUUGCUGUUUAUUGCAAUUAUGGAAGACUGGAGAUCUGGGUCAUGAAGGAGUACAAUGUGAAGGAGUCAUGGGUUAAAGAAUACAAUAUUGGAGCGUACAUGCCAAAGGGUUUGAAGCAAAAUCUUGUCCGACCUCUGAAGAUAUGGAAGAAUGCCUCAAAUGGAAGGGCUGUUAGAGCUCUAUGCGUGUUGAAGAAUGGUGAAAUCCUGCUGGAGUAUAAGAACAGAGCUCUGGUUUCUUAUGACCCAAAGAAGGGAAAAUUUAAGGAUAUCGACUUACAAGGGACGCCAAAAUGGUUCCAAACAGUAGUUCAUGUGGGCAGCCUGAACUGGAUUGAUACUCCAAGUGACUAGCACAGCCAUGGAUCGGGUACUUCUCCCUUCGUGAGUUGAUCUCUCCUUGUCCUGAAACAAAAAAAAAAUCUGUUUCUGUUUCAAUUGUUCGCUUUUAUCAUUAGGUUCUCAUUAGACUAUCAAACCCCACACGCAUUUACAGACUCCAAUAAUCAAAGUAUAUUGGCGUGUAUGAAUAUUGAAUAUUAAUAUUGGAUCGAUUGCAAUGCAAGAGAAUAUUUAUGUCUCAUGUAAGAAGUAGACAAGAUCAGUUCGUAUAGGUUAAGAUUAAUCCCUUGUAUUAGUGGGUUUUAAGUCCAGCUCCCCCUCCUUUGCUGCUCGAACAAUCAACCAGCCCUUCCUUUUUUACAUUAACAAUUAACCACUAAUGUAAAAAUUAGUGUUAAUACUAAUACACUAAAAGAGUUCCGUAAUUUCCUGUGCAUUGCUGUGUUUCACGCUGAAUGGUAUUGCUCAUUGAACAAUAUUUAUUUUUUGUUUUAGUAACUCAACCUUUUUGUUUUCAAUUUCAUUGUUUUGUAUGAUAUUUGUGAUAUUUUACAUGUUGAUAUUUUCUUUUCCUUGUAUUUUCUUGACAAUUCAAUGUGUUGGGUGAAAUUUUAAAACUGAUUUAAAGGCUAAUUUCAUGAAAAAAAAAUUAAAAUUGUAAUGUUAAGAAAAAUUAAAAGAAGGACCAAAAUAAAAUAAACCUAAAGGGGCUUUUUUCUUAUUAGCACAAAAAAGCUCAAUUUUGUCCAAAAAUUUUCCAUCCACUCCCUUGUAGUCCCUAUAAUUUUAGGAUUUUAUAUUUAGAUCUUAAGCUUUAUUUAUUUCAUGUUUCAGUCCUAAAAUUUCAGUCCCUAUAAUUUUAUAUUAUUAUUAUUGUUGUUGUUGUUCUUUUUAUUAUAGAAAAUAUCUUUGAAUCAAUGUAUUAAAAUAAUAUUUAAACGAUUAUACAAUUAAGCUUUAAUUUUUUAAAAAAAUAUUAAAGACUUUUUAUGAUGAUAUUAUUAAUUGCUUUAUGAAUAAUUAUUUACUAACCUAAUAUGUGGAAUUUAUAAAAUAAUUUGCUCAUUAAUAUUGAAUGAGAAGAAAAUAUCUAUUUUUUAACUUUUUAUUGUAAGUUAUUUUAUAAUUUUCUCAAAUAUAUUAUGCUUAUAUUUUUUUUAAUAAAAGUACAAUAAAUAUAUUUAUUCAUGAUUUUUUAUUUUUUAUUUGGAACUUGUGUUCACGGUCAUAAUAAGUUUUGACUUAGAAAGCAAUACUUAACAUAAAAAAAAAACAUGUUUUAUUUUUUCAAAAUAAAAAAGAAAUGCAUGAAUAAAAAAAUAUUUUUUUAUUAAAAAUAUACAUUUUUUUCUUUUAGUUUAGAUUGCCAUAGUUUCUUCAAAUAUUUUUUCUAAUUGCUAGUAUUUUUUAUUCAAUGAAUUAUGUUGCUAACAAAAACCUCCUUUUGUUGUAAAAAAAAAGUUGUCUUUUCUACAAAUAUCUAUUUUUGUUGUUGUUUAAUAAAAAAAUAAAUUUCAAAAAGCAAAACUAUUAAACUUAGUUUGAUUCCAGACCAAGUCACAAGUUAGUAGGGUUAACUUGAAACAAUCUAAAAUAUUGACAUUUUAAUAUUUUAAAAAUUAUUAUUAUGAUGUCACUAUAAUUUUUUUUUUAAAGUCAAACACUAGGUUGAACAAGUUACGUGUAGAACUGAAAGAUUGACUAGGUGAUACCAAGUUAACUCUUUUCCAUUUUAAUUUUAAAUUAGGCCAUUGCAAGUGGCCUAAUCAACGGGUCACUAGGUUAUGCCAUCAAACCAAUCUAGAAUUAAAAAUACCAUCAAAAAGUUAUUGUGGUAAUGCGUUGGUAACUAACUAGUUUUAAACUAAGAAUGAUAUGACAAACCAAACAAAGUUAUUCUGUAUUUUUAAGAAGCUACUUUUUAUGAUUAAAAUUACAAAAUAUAUUAAAACAACUAGGUAAAUCACUAUAAUAAUUCACAAGACAACAAAGCUUUUUUUUAAUCUCAUCCUCAAAUUUUUUUUUUUAAUUGCAGUAGUUUUUGCCUAAAUUAACUACCAAUUUCUUAAAAUUUGUCAAGGAGAGAAAACAAAUCAACAAAAGAUAACCAAAAUAUAAAAUAAGGAGAAAACCCAUCUCCAAUCUCGAAUUCGCUAGAAAAAUUUCUAUAUAAUCCACCUGUUCUUCUUUUUCUUUAUAUAAUGUUCCUUUAGUUUAUGUAAUUUUAAUUUUGAUCCAAGGGUUUAUUUUGUUAAUAUUUCAGUCACUGAAUUUGUGAGAGAAAAGAGAAAGUUAUCAGUUUGUAACAAUGUAGUAACAAAAAAUGAUUAAUUUUAGUAUUAACGGGUUCUAUUUAACGAAAAGAGUUUAAUGGCAAUGAUUUUUAUUUCUAUAAACAUGUAUACAAUAGUAGAUUAAGUUCCAUUUAUAUUUUUUUUAUUUUGUUGAUUUUCAAUUUCUUUUCGUGUUAUUUUGGGAUGUUUUGGUGUUGGUAAAUAGUUUUUUUUUUUUUUUGAAGAUUUGUAUGGUAUUCUUGAAGAUAUUUUAAGAUAAGACUUUGAUUAUUGGGGUCAAAACGAGUCGGCAACCUAAAACUUUGAUUUACAUCCAAAAAUAGUUUUGGUCAAACAACAACGAAACAUGGAAGGGGUUGCUCUGCGUUGUGCAUGACAGCUAGAAGCCCAGAGUUCAAACAAACUAAUUAUCAGGGAAUAUUGAUGAAGUCCUCCUUCAUUAUCAGCAACCUAAAAAGGAGUGGCAGCGCUGGCUAGUUUUUCAACGGCCACCGAAAAACAAUCUAUUGAAAAAUUCUUUACCGAACAUUGGAUUUAUAUAGAAAGGUGCCUUUAAAAAAGUAGGUCACCAAGAAGCCCCUCCAUUGCCCAAUACACAGUAGUGGUUGCCUUCGAAAAGAAUUCUUCGCCUGAGAUAAGUUUUUCUUAUUUGGUCAAACGUAGUUUUCAGGCUCCGAUAUAGCAACCCAAUAAAGUAUACAGAAAAUACACUCACAUAGUAGCUUUCAGGCUUUGACUCCCUAAAAAGGUUUUUAUUAGCUAACCAAGAAACUUUAAAAGGGGUGAGGAAAUUACUUUUCCUCGCACGAUGGUUUUUUUUUUUUUUAAUGGCCAUCUAAGAUGUUUUCUCAUCGAUUCAGUACUUUAAUCGCUAAAUUGAUAGCAAAUUAGGUUUGAUUUAUUGAACAAGGACAGAAUUAAAAGAUGAAGGAUUAAAGUGUAAAAGGCUGAAAAAUCUGGUAGAGAGAAAAAGACUUAAUUGACAUUUAUUUAAACCACAAAAAACUUUGAUCUUGGUAUUAAUGAGUUUCAUUCAAUGAGAAGAGUUUUAGGUGUUUUUUAGCCUUCUCAUCAUCUGAAAUGGCAAUUUUGAUAUCAUAAAGUUUUUUAGUAUAGGGUUGAUUUUGAGUUUAUAGACCGCUUUUUAGGUUAUUGGUGGUCAUAUAAGGAUUUAUUGAGGUGUAUCAGGUGUUUUAUAUGUGUUUUUGAUCAAAAAUAGAUUGAGAGAAAUUAGUUUUAUAGGUCUAAAAAACACAAUUAUACUGAAAUUUGAGCUGAAGUAGGCGACGUGUCACCUACCUUUAUUUUUUAUCAAGAAACUCUAAGGUGAACAAUGUAUCAUCCACCCCAUUACCAAAUAAAAAAAAUUAAGGGCUAGCACGUGGGUUUGGUUUGCCAGAACCAACAGUGUCUGACCUUUUUUUUUUCUUUUUAAUUUUAAUUUUUUAAUUGAUAUUUUUUAUAUGUAUUCUCUAUGAUUUUUUAGAUUAUUUAUUUAGUAUUUUUUAAAUAGUAAUUGUUUAAAAAAAAUAUUUUGUACAUAUUUUACGUUUCAAAGAGAUAUUUCUAAUUUAUCCAUAAAUCUUUUUUAUAUUUUAUAUAAAUAAAUUUUAUUUUCAUGAUGUGUUUAUAAAAUUAAAAAUUAUUUUUUCUUAGAUAGGAAAAGGUAACCUUUAAGAUAAUAAUAAUAAAAAAAACUUGUGCAUUAUAGCUAAAAGUUGAGGUUAAAUAUUAUACUGAUCUUUCUUUUACUUUUAUAAAAAAAGAUAAUCUUUUCAUUUUAGAAUUUUAUUUGCAUUAGUAGCUCUUUUCCACUUUAUUAAUUCAUAUAUUUUAUGAUUUAUUUAGUUUAGCAUAAACAAUCUCUUUACAUUUCUCAAUUAAAAGAAUUAUGAUAUAGUGAAAAAUAAUUGCAAUAUUAUCCUAUUUUUUCACUAUGUUAAAAAUUAACUUAAGAUCCUACAUGCGGUGUUGCUUUAACAAUUGUUUUUAUUUAUUAAUGCAUAUAAUUCUCACUUUAUUUUAUUAUGUGUCGUACCCAACAUCACGACAACCUUUAAAAUUCAAAAUUAAAAACAAGUUUCUGACAUCUUAUUCUUCAAUAAGAAAUGUGUAGUUUAGUGAGUUAUUAUCUAGUAUUAUGGUCACUAGUAACCCCAACUGGUCAACAAAAAUUCAAUGAGUCGCCUUCUAGUAAAAUAUAUUGUAAAUUGAAUUUACCUUUUACAGUUAAAAUCUACAUAUCAAUUAUAUAGUGAAAUACUUAAAUAAAAACAUGGGAACCUAUAAAUAAAUUUAAGAGGGUCCUUAGAUUUUUCUGAUAUUAAAAAAAAACUCGUUUGGUCUAAUAUAAAAAAAAUAAAAAUAAAAACAAUGGGCCAAAGGCCCAGCCCAACUACUGUUUUUUUUUUUUUGGACUAGACACAGCAGGCCCGGGUAAUUAGGACCCGGCUGGGCCAAGCAGGAGACACGCGUUAACCAAAUCACGCGUGCAUGAACAGUGGAAGAGUAAUUAAAAUUCAAGGUGCACACUGCACAGUGAGUGAACUGAAAUUGUAAAGCUGGGGAAGACGAAAAGCACUUACCUGUGCUGCUGCUACUGAAGAUGAAGACGAAGUUGCGGGCGAUCGACUGCUGCUAAUUUCUCUUCCAUUUCCUUGGUUUCUUCUGUGAUCUUCCUUCUUUUUUUUGUUCUUUUUGUCUUCGUAUUCUAUUUGUUCCUUAUCUUUCUGUAUUUUUCUCUGUAUCUCCCUCUUCUGUCUCUGUUUUUUGGUCUUUCUUCUGUGUCUCUCGUGUCUAUGUUCUCUCUGUUCUGUCCCUGUAUUGUUCGUUCUUGUUCUCUCUGUGUGUUGAUUUCCUGGGUUUCCCUCUCUCUCUCUCUACUGUUUUUUUUCUUCCUCUUCUCUGCUUCUCUGGUUUGUUCCCCCCCAGUUCUCUCCCUUCUUGUGGCUUUUCUCUGGCUUAUAUAAAGCCAGAGAAUGCCAUGCGUUGGUAAAGCAAACGAAACGGACUCACAUGACAGUUACAGUGAUAAUGGAGACGCAUCGUGGGGCGCCGGCGGGGCGUCCCUUUUUUUCCCUGUCGGGUAAGAAGAAGAAGAUGAAUAAUCUUCUUUGAAACGGCGUCGUUUUGGGAUGAGAGUGAUCAUUUUCAGUUUGGUCACUGAGUAUUUGACGUUUGGUAAUUAAACCCCUUAAUCAGGAAAUUCCCUCUUCUUUUUGUUUUUAAUUUCGCCCCUAGGUAAUUUGCAAUUGGACCCCUGGAUUAUAGCCUUAUUCACAAAACAGUCAUUGGUUUCUGAAUUAUUCAAUUCAUUCUUUAAUUGACUCUUCAACUUUUAAUGUUUUCACAAUAUGUAAGAAUCGAGUUUUAGAUUUAUAGAUCUAUUUUUUUUCUUAAUUUCUAAAAACACAUUACCAACACAUACAUAUUCAUUUUUUUGUGUAGAAAAAAAUAUUCAGCCUGUAGCGAAGCAAGUUAAAUAUACACGUUAAUACUUUUUGAAAAACAAUUCCUGACAUAUAUAAUUUUUAUCUUAUUUUAUUAAAUGCAGGCAUAAAGUUUUUCUAUUUAUGAUGAGAAAUUGUUUUUGUAAAAAAAAAACAUGGUAUAAAGAUACACAUAUACCUAUUUUUGCUCAAAAACAUUAUCCGACAUUCAUUGAAUUAUUGCAUCUAGUUAAAUAACUAGUAUUUAUGAGUUGGCAAACUCUUAUAAAAAAAUAUCCAAUGUAAUUUUUGUUUAUAUAUAUACUAGUUAGUGUGUGUGUGUGUGUGAGUUUAUAUAUAUAUAUAUAUAUAUAUAUAUAUAUAGAGAUUUGGACACUUAUUAUAUGAGAUUGACGUAAAAUUAACAUCAUAAAUUAUUCCAUAAUAAGACUUGUUGCCAAUAUCUUUGGUUUUGGUUCCUUCUUCUAUAACCCCAAAUCAAAAAAAGAAGAGAUAAGAAAGUAUUUUGGAGAAAGUGGUUAAAAAUCUAUAAUGGAGUGCGAGCACAACGAUCAAAUUAGUUAUCUUUAUGCAUAGAGAUAUGGAAUUAUCUAGUAUAAAAGAUUUUAAACAAAAAAUAUUAAGGUCCAAGCUAGUUAUACAUUAGCUGCAUUUCAAUCACAGGACUAUUAGCUGCUGUACCUUUAUCGAUUAUAGAGUGGCAAUGUCGAUGGCCAUAAAAGAAGAGAUAGAAUUAUUCCAUCCUUUGCUUAAUUUUUCCUCAUCCUCAUCAAUUUUGCUCCCAUAUUCUUCGAAUGCUGAUUUUUCAGUCUCCCCUUUCACUCUCUGUACUUGUUUAUGUCACUAGAAAUCAAAUCUGCAGAUAUGUUCAUAUGAAUUCUUUCUCCAAUUUGUCAUCGUUCUUGAUUUCUGGAACAGAUCUCUUCAAAUAAUCCUAUAAAUAAAUAUUUAAUUUUACUAUUUUCCUUUUUUUGAAUUCAAAUUGCAAGUUUGUUCAUUCUUUAUUUAACAUAAUGGCCGUAAGCCUUCAACUCUCAUCAUGUUUCUAUACCAGUUUCUUGCUGUUGCAUGUCUCUAUCACUUUCUUUUAGCACCAUGUUUCAUGCAACAUCAAUGAACUCCGUUUGUCAUUAGGAGCAUUAGACCGAGAGAAAAUUGUGUGAGCUAAGCAUAUGACAAAUUAAUAGUGAGCCUUACGAAGGGAUUCAUGACUAAGAAGUAGAUUAUGAAGUCUGGAAAGAGAAACUAGCUUAGGGAAUUAUCAACGCUAGUCCCACUAACAGUGAGCUGCCGAAACUCAUCCUUACGAAGGGAUUCAUGACUAAGAAGUAGAUUAUGAAGUCUGGAAAGAGAAACUAGCUUAGGGCGAGUAGUUAAUGUUGAGACAAGAUCUUUAAAAAUUUGAAACGUAAUCCUUUCAAUAAAUAUAAAUUGAAAUCUGUUGGAUCGAACGACUUUCCAACAGUAGUGAGUUUGUCACCGUAUUUUUGAACUCAUUGUAAACACGUUUUCAUGGUUUCAUCAGGAUGUUGACGCAGUUCUAACAAGGUAGAGUGAAGAGCCAUUAUUUGCGUUUUCGAUGGAGAUGCCAAUGCUGCAGCAAGAGCGCGCACCAUAUGUCCCGAGAGGUUUUGCAAUCAAACACCGAAGACAGCACAUCUGUCGAUAAGGACAUGAUCAAUGUGCUCAAAAUAAGUUAAUCUUGUGGCACCAAGAGUCCCUAUCCUUUCAGAAAAGAUAAUCGGUGUUGGUGAUUUUCAAGCAGAUGUGAUGAUAUGCUGUUUAUAAACCCUAGAUAAUAGCAACUGUUAUGGCCGGCGGCAGCACCUCUGAAGUGCUUUGAGAAGAUGCCACUAACAUACUUUGAGCAGCUGCUGUUUUUUUCCCGAAAAGUCACAGUACACUUAUGUUAGAGGCGUCCUAUAAAGAAGAAUGCAAGAAAACAGAAACAAAAUUGAAAAGUUGCAUGCGGAUAUAUUCUCCACUGGAGCUGCUGUAAUGCUACUAGUUUACGCUAUAAUAAUUGGGCCUGUACAUAGUCAGCUAAGAUGGGCGUUUUUGCUCAAUCGUUCGUUUAAAGACUGGUUGUCAACUGGUCUGGAUCUUUUUAUCAUGUGUCUGUGUUUAAGGAAUAUUUUCUUACAUCCAGUCUCUUAGUUGAUUUGUCUAACGGGUAACAUUGAAGGAGGAUUCUAUACAUUUGUAGCCGUUGGCUUUGCUACUUGCAACAAAUUUCAAUUACUAAUGGAGGCAUUGAUGAUUGUUGUCCUGUACUUGUAUUUCCACAUUCAUGGGAAAUUCUCAGGAAUGAAGGAGUUGAUGAUGAACCACAAAACAUGGUCUCGUCAAGCGGAGAAGCGUAAAAGCAAGGCAGAAUAUGUGCUCCAAUUAUCAAACAAAGCAGCACAAGAUGCUGCUUAUUUUAUUACAUACCAAACCAUUAAUAUAAAAUUCAUCAACCUACUUGGAACCAACAAGAACAUCCCACAAGGCAUCUCUGCUCCAAAUCAAAGAUCAAAUGCAUCCAUGCGGUGAGUUCGCAUUGGUUUGAUCCAAGUGGAACAUUUCCAUACCUACACCCCCAUUAGCAUAACAAUCCUUUAUUAAACCACUAGCUAGACGUGCAAGAUUCAACCUACACACAAGAACCCACUAGAUAGACUUCCACUGGAACCAUGCAGCAUUCUCCCGUGAUGACCUCAUUACUCAGUCUUUUCUACUGGGGUUUCUGUUUCAACCUUCUCCUCUGUUUCAACAGGCUUCUGUUCUUCCUUUACUUCUUCUUCCUUUGGGGCUUCGACUGCAACCUCCGUUUCUUCUGCCGGUGCCUCACCAGGCUCUGUAGUCUCUUUAGCCUCCUCGACAACAGGCUCUACGGGUACUUCCGGCUCCUCUUUUGUCUCCUCAGCAACCGGCUCUGGUGUUUCCUUAGGUGUCUCCUCCUCAGUUUUCUCUAGUACUGUUGGCUCUUCUGCAGCGAUCUUGUUCUCUUCGAGCACCUCUUUAGUUUCAGCUUCAGCUGGGGCCUCGGGCUCUGGUGCCACGGGCUCCUCAGAUGCUGCAACUUUCUCUGCUUCUUUUGGCUCUUCAUGAGUUACUGCCUCUGGUGCUGCAGUGACCGCUUCUUCUGUG